CGUGCCAUGUUACGUCAUCAAGGGCGACAGAAACACAAGUCAUUGGGCGAAUCUCGUCUCUUUUAUGAGCUGUAAACGGGACGGUAAACUCUUGCAGUUGAGUGGCACAUCAGACAGAUACAGAACCUUUUGCCAUUUAUUGUAACACCAAGAUGGACGUGAAAGAGGAGACGUGUGAGGCUGACAUAAAUACCACGAAGGUAACGACUGUAAAUUUUAAAAAGGAGGACUCUGAAUGGGAGAAUCCGCCCAUUAAGGAUGAGGAUUAUGAAGUGCCAGCUGUGGACGUUAAAGAAGAGGCCGAGGAGAAGUCUGUCAGCAGUGAAAUGAUGAAACCUAAAAGUGAGGAGCCCGUCAACCUCAAUGUGAGUCCUGGAUCACUGCAGUCUGACACAAAGAGGGCUGAAGAAAUGUCAUCUGAUAGAAUUCAGGAGGAUCAAACAGUACCCUCAAAUCCGUCUGGAGAAAAUUUACAAGAGAUUUGCAGCCCCUACCCAUCUUCACUUCCUCAGACUUUACUUCGGAACAAACCGCAACUUCCAGAUCAUGAUGAAAACCUGAAGACAUCUGGAUCAGGGAAUCUGAACCGUGGCUCUUUGCAGUUAAGAUGUCUGCCUAUUAUGAAAUUAACAGGAAUAGCUAUCAUUAACUCUCAAAAACAAAUACACAAUGCAAAUGCAGCAUCUUUGUCGAAAUGCCAAGAUGUGAGGAAACAUUAUAAUCACGAAUCCAAAUGCAGAAGUGAUGGCUGUAGCCAUAAGAAGCAGAAACUGCCAUAUUGCUGUUCUGAAUGUGGCAAACAGUUUUCCAGCAGUAGCCACUGUAACCCACACACAAGAAGUUACGCUGGGGGGAUGCUGUACUGUUGUUCUGAAUGUGGCAAACAAUUUCCUGACAAGAAAAGUCUUGACAUGCACACAGGAAUUCACUCUGGAGAGAGGCCAUAUUCCUGUUCUGAAUGUGGGAAACAAUUCUUUUACAAGAAAUGUCUUCACAAUCAUGCACUAAUUCACAUCGAAGAGAAGCAAUUUUGCUGUCAUCGGUGUAACAAAAGAUACUGUUGUCAAAGCAGUCUUCAUGUGCACUCAAGAUCUCACAGUGGAGUGAAGCCUUAUUGCUGUUCUGAAUGUGGCAAGCAUUUCUCACAAAGGGCCAUUUUUAAGUAAUACUCAGUAAUUCACACCAGAGAGGAAGGAGGAUUAAGUGAUGUGUGUAUGUGAUAUUAAUCCUGCCAACCUUUUAAUGAGUAUGUUCAAGUGAUGGGCUUCAUGGUGUAAGCUUUAUCCAAGUCUAUUGAAAGGGGAAAUUGCUUUAAUAAUAUUAAUAACAAAAUGUAAAAAAAAUGAAGAAUGUCUUCUGAAGUUCAAUGGUAUCCAGCAGCCUUGUCUAGACCAGAGCAGGUGAUAGUUUUAUCAUUGGUACAAAAUCUUCAAACAUGACCACCUCCUGUGUGAUGCCAGUCAACCUGACAAGUGCUGCUGCUCCGUUAAAAUGGAAAAGAUAUGACAACAAAAUGUUAUUUUAGGUAAGAAAUCAAGAGUGGGCAAUGGAAGAAAAUAAAAGAUUAUUUGUUAUGUUGCUACUUUAACACAACAGAGCCUGAGUUUUCUACAAAGGAAAGAAGAAGAGAAAUCCCAGUGUCCGGACUAAAUAAGACAAUCAGUACUAAUUAUGGUCUGAAAUUUAAACAAUUACAGUAAAGACGUAAGCCAGCAGAACUCAGAACAACAUGGUAUAGAAAAUUAAAUUAUAAAGAAAUUGGGAUGAUGGGAACAGGUGCAGGUCCCCACAGCGUGUAGUAUUUAGGCAAAUGACCCUCUCUAAAUACAACUAUGAUUGGUAACAGUUAAAUAUGAAAUGAACAAGUUGUAUCUUCGUGUGUAAUGUCUGAUCUCCUUCCUCAAUUGUGGUGCGUGUGGAGUGUAAAUAUGCACUAAAAUAAGAAAUUCUUACCUCUGCAAGGCAAACUCUAUUAAAGC